rnacentral:miRNA from 2 species
GCCGCUUGGGUCUUGCCUGGGG